UGGAGGGGAUCAGGUGGCAUUUGGGUGGUCUUGGUGGCCAUUGUUAUUCCCCAUCUCCCAUAUACUCACAGUAUGAAUAUUUGGAGCAGGCCAGAACAAGUUGAGCUCUACUUCCCCUUACUGUCCCAACAUCAGGUGUACGGUGAUAACAUCAUGUCACGGAAACAGGCUGGGCUUUGGUGUAUGUGUAUGAGGAAGAUGAGUAUUAUGGGACGUUUUUACUACAGCGGAGUAUUGUUAUCAAACUGGCUAAACAGUUCAGUGCUAGAACAUAUUAAUAUUUUGCCUUAAUAUAACAGAUUUUUCUGUAUCCUAUUAAAAAGCUAAAUUUGACAAAA